rnacentral:rRNA from 1 species
UCAGGGAAGAAGAUCUGACGGUACCUGACGAAUCAGCAUCGGCUAACUCCGUGCCAGCAGCCGCGGUAAUACGGAGGAUGCAAGCGUUAUCCGGAUUUAUUGGGCGUAAAGCGUCCGCAGGUGGUUGGGCAAGUCUGCUGUCAAAGCGCGGAGCUUAACUCCGUAAAGGCAGUGGAAACUGCACGACUAGAGUCUGGUAGGGGUAGCGGGAAUUCCCAGUGUAGCGGUGAAAUGCGUAGAUAUUGG